AUACACUUUCGCGAUAUAAUUUGGAGUGAAACUUUCAUUUGAGCCUGAAUUCAAUGGAAUUGGUGGUCGGAGAGUUGAGAUCUGAUAAUCUUCGAUCACCGGCAGACUCAUUUCAUCAGAUUCACCAUCGUCAUCAUCAUUCGAAUUCCUGGACUCAAAAUAAAUAAUAAUUCCCUAUAAAAACCCUGAAAAGAAGUUUAUUUUUGGCCCAACAUUGAGGGAAAUCAAAGGCUAUAGUGUAAACAUAAAUAUAAUCAUCGUCCUGCUUUAAAUAAUGGUAAAUCUCGAGUUUUCAGAUAAAAGACCAACUACACUUUUGCAUAAAUUGAUUUAAUUGAUGAAUUUCUCUUACCUAAUAUUAUAAUGUACAAUUCAUUUAUUUCACGCUGUUAUUAAAGUUUGCGAAGCGUUGUUCAUACUAUGAACAUGAAAUAAAUCAACAAGUAAAGAUAACGUGGACAACAUAUAAUUCGCAACAUUUUGAGCAGAACUACUCAAAUGUAAGAUUAUCUUGAACAAAACUCAAGAAUGUUUCUUUUGGAACAUGUGUAUGUAUGUACAUCCCUACACCUGCGUUACAAUACAGAGAUUUCAAGUAAUCUAUAUUCACAAGCUGAUUCACUUGAAAUUUGAUACCUUAAUCUAUAAUAUAGUUGUAUAACUGAAACUAUAUCAAAAGCACGCAACUGCACUUUUGGUAACUUUAAUUUUGUUGUAAUCUGAAAUUAAGUAACCAAGUUACAACUUGUACAUAAAUAAAUUGUAGUCAUGUAAUAGGUCAUUUAUUAUGCAUUGACUGAUGCUAUGUAUGUCAAAGAUUAUGAAUAAACAAAUUGUUUAAAAAUAUUUGGAUAAUACAAAACAA